rnacentral:rRNA from 1 species
UACGUAGGGGGCAAGCGUUGUCCGGAAUCAUUGGGCGUAAAGAGCGUGUAGGCGGCCAGAAAAGUCCGCUGUGAAAACUCGAGGCUCAACUUCGAGCUGUCGGUGGAAACUUUCUGGCUAGAGUCCGGAAGAGGAGAAUGGAAUUCCUGGUGUAGCGGUGAAAUGCGCAGAUAUCAGGAGGAACACCGGUGGCGAAGGCGGUGGUCUGGGCCGGCACUGACGCUGAGGAGCGAAAGCGUGGGGAGCGAACAGG